rnacentral:lncRNA from 1 species
UGACCCCACCUUACUUAGUUUAAUUUUUAAUAAUUUUUGUGAUUAAUUUACUAUUUAUUCUUGAUUUAUUUCUAACCUAGUCUUGUUGUUUGACUUUUGGUUUGACCUUUGCUUUGAUUCAAUUAAUUCAAUAACCAAUUUUUAUUAUUUUUGAAAUAUUUUUGGGGGAUGAUGAUGUCCUGAUCCACCAUACUUAGUUUAAUUUUUCAUAAUUUUCUUGAUUAAUUUACCAUUUAUUCCAUAUUUUUUAAGUUGAUUUGACUUUACAGUUGACUUUUCCAUGAUUGAUGUUUGACUUAAGGGAUUGCUUAGGGCAACUGAAGAGAUCUUUUGAUCCUCCCUUGUUCAUCUCAUAUGCCAUGUAUUAGAGGCCUUUCAUAUUGAUUUUAUUUGAUUCUUGCAUCAUUUCCCGAUUAAAUUAUUCAUUGAUCCUUUGUGUGCAUAGUUUCACCUGUCUGAUUCAUCUGAUAUUUU